UCAGCCUCCUGCAUUAUGGAUUUAAUAAGUUCUCUUGUCUCUCUACUCAGUUUUAUUACAUUCCCUUCCCACCAAAAUGUCUAUGGGAUGGGAUUGUGGGGACUCUCCCAUGUUAAAAUGACAUGUUAAUAUGACAUUGAAGGCUGCCAGUUAACCUGAGACAAGACUGUACAGUGAUAACUGAAGAGGGCAUAAAAAUGAGUCCUGACUCACUCCAACAUUAAAAUGUUGCACAGAACAGAAGCAGGAAAAUUUUGAAAUAGUGGCCAAUGAAGAAAAGAGAACAUCCAGGAGGAUUUAGUGUCACAGAAGCCAAGCUAGCUUCUUGGUCUGGCCCCUUGUGCACCAUGGACAAAAGAGAAAGGAUUUGUUUUUUCCUUCAGAAUCAGACAGAAGAAUGUACCAGGGACUGUAUUGAUGUUUGAAGUCUGGAAUUACAGGAUAAGG